rnacentral:misc_RNA from 1 species
CAUUCAGUAGCCUAGCUACUUGUUUAUACCCUUGUUUUUUGCGUACCUAUUGUUUCCUCGGCGGGCUUGCUCGCCGGUUGGACAAAACCUAUAACCUUUUUUAAAUCUUCAAUCAGCGUCUGAAUGAAAUAUAAUAAUUA